rnacentral:rRNA from 1 species
GACGAACGCUGGCGGUGUGCUUAACACAUGCAGGUCGAACGGAAAGGCCUCUUUCGGGGGGUACUCGAGUGGCGAACGGGUGAGUAACACGUGAGUAACCUGCCCUUGACUUUGGGAUAACUUCAGGAAACUGGGGCUAAUACCGGAUAGGAGCUCCUGCUGCAUGGUGGGGGUUGGAAAGUUUCGGCGGUUGGGGAUGGACUCGCGGCUUAUCAGCUUGUUGGUGGGGUAGUGGCUUACCAAGGCUUUGACGGGUAGCCGGCCUGAGAGGGUGACCGGCCACAUUGGGACUGAGAUACGGCCCAGACUCCUACGGGAGGCAGCAGUGGGGAAUAUUGCACAAUGGGUGGAAGCCUGAUGCAGCAACGCCGUGUGCGGGAUGACGGCCUUCGGGUUGUAAACCGCUUUCGCUCAUGACGAAGCUUUGUGUGACGGUAGUGGGUAAAGAAGCACCGGCUAACUACGUG